rnacentral:rRNA from 1 species
UACGGGAGCAGCAGUGGGGAAUAUUGCACAAUGGGCGAAAGCCUGAUGCAGCUAUGCCGCGUGUAUGAAGAAGGCCUUAGGGUUGUAAAGUACUUUCAUCGGGGAGGAAAAACAAAACUAAUAAUUUUAUUUCUUGACGUUACCCGAAAAAGAAGCACCGGCUAACUCCGUGCCAGCAGCCGCGGUAAUACGGAGGGUGCUAGCGUUAAUCAGAAUUACUGGGCGUAAAGAGCACGUAGGUGGUUUUUUAAGUCAGAUGUGAAAUCCCUGGGCUUAACCUAGGAACUGCAUUUUGAAACUGAAAUACUAGAGUAUCGUAGAGGGAGGUAGAAUUCUAGGUGUAGCGGUGAAAUGCGUAGAUAUCUGGAGGAAUACCUGUGGCGAAAGCGGCCUCCUAAACGAAUACUGACACUGAGGUGCGAAAGCGUGGGGAGCAAACAGGGAUUAGAUACC